GACGAACGCUGGCGGCGUGCUUAACACAUGCAAGUCGAACGGAAAGGCCCUGCAUUUGUGGGGUGCUCGAGUGGCGAACGGGUGAUUAACCCGUGAGUAACCUGCCCUUGACUUUGGGUUAACUUCAGGAAACUUGGUCUAAUACCGGAUAGGUGCUCCUGCUGCAUGGUGGGGGUUGGAACGUUUCGUCGGUUGGGGAUGGACUCGCGGCUUAUCAGCUUGUUGGUGGGGUAGUGGCUUACCAAGGCCUUGACGGGUAGCCGGCCUGAGAGGGUGACCGGCCACAUUGGGACUGAGAUACGGCCCAGACUCCUACGGGAGGCAGCAGUGGGGAAUAUUGCACAAUGGGCGGAAGCCUGAUGCAGCAACGCCGCGUGCGGGAUGACGGCCUUCGGGUUGUAAACCGCUUUCGCCUGUGACGAAGCGUGAGUGACGGUAAUGGGUAAAGAAGCACCGGCUAACUACGUG
rnacentral:rRNA from 1 species